GAUGAACGCUGGCGGCGUGCCUAAUACAUGCAAGUCGAGCGAACAGAUGAGGAGCUUGCUCCUCUGACGUUAGCGGCGGACGGGUGAGUAACACGUGGAUAACCUACCUAUAAGACUGGGAUAACUUCGGGAAACCGGAGCUAAUACCGGAUAAUAUAUUGAACCGCAUGGUUCAAUAGUGAAAGACGGUUUUGCUGUCACUUAUAGAUGGAUCCGCGCCGCAUUAGCUAGUUGGUAAGGUAACGGCUUACCAAGGCAACGAUGCGUAGCCGACCUGAGAGGGUGAUCGGCCACACUGGAACUGAGACACGGUCCAGACUCCUACGGGAGGCAGCAGUAGGGAAUCUUCAGCAAUGGGCGAAAGCCUGACGGAGCAACGCCGCGUGAGCGAUGAAGGUCUUCGGAUCGUAAAACUCUGUUAUUAGGGAAGAACAAAUGUGUAAGUAACUAUGCACGUCUUGACGGUACCUAAUCAGAAAGCCACGGCUAACUACGUG
rnacentral:rRNA from 1 species